GUUCUAGUGCAAACGCAGGAUGGACGCCAUUCGCGCGAGAUAAGUUUUCUCUUGCUUAGAAGCGAGAGCGGCAAGUGCAUAAGCGUGGUGCGCCGUGGAGCUAUGCUAUAGUGUCGCGUCGGUGGUGCUCGGUGUGGCGGCUGUGUAUCGUUGUCGCGCGUGGACGUGCGGUGCGGGCUGGCUAGCGGUGGCUGGCACCUGGAGCAGCGCUGGUCGGAGCAGCAGACGGGACGGUAGGCAUGGCGGGUGCGAGCUGAGCGGGCGCGCGGCAGCUGCACGCUCGCGCUCCGCCGCCGGCCCGAUGCGCGGGGCAGGCCGUGCUCGGCGGAGGUUAUUUUAUGGGUAUUUGCGUGAGCUGCCGGCGCCGCGACCGAAAGGCUCCCGAGAAGCGAGAGACAGGCGCGGGGGGUGCGGCUGGAGGCCGAGGGCCCGCUAAGGGCGCCGCGGCAGAGCUGCUCCCGCGCCGCGCGGACCCAGUCAUGGCCAACUCCAUAUCCAACAUCAAGAUGACCAACCCUAUCAAGGGUAUCGUCAGCAAGCGCCGGAAACGUUAUAUCAAGGACGGGUUCAACCUGGACUUAACCUAUAUCACAGACAGGCUGAUAGCGAUGGGUUUCCCCGCGGAGAAGCUGGAAGCCGUAUACAGAAACCACAUAGACGAGGUGUACAGGUUCCUGGAGAAUAAACACCAGAACCACUAUAAGAUAUACAACUUGUGCUCGGAGAGGUCUUAUGAUUCCAGCAAGUUUCAUGACCGGGUGGUGCGUUACGCGUUCGAUGACCACACGCCGCCGAAGAUGGAACUGAUCCAGCCGUUCUGCGAAGACGUGGACAAGUGGCUCAAGGAGGAUCCCCGCAACGUAGCUGCCGUGCACUGCAAGGCUGGAAAAGGACGCACAGGCACAAUGGUGUGUUGCUAUCUUCUCUACAGUGGACAAAAAGCGACUGCGGACGAAGCGCUCAAAUUCUACGGAACGAAAAGAACGCAUGACGAAAAAGGUGUGACGAUACCCUCGCAGCGGCGUUACGUGGAGUACUACGAGGCGCUGGUUCGCAACCGGCCCGCGCUGCCGUACGCGGCGAGCAAGCUGCUGGUGCGCGAGCUGCUGAUGCGCCCGCCGCCGCAGCUCAACGGUGGGCAGGCGCAGCUCGAGCUCACCGUCUCGCAGGCACACCCGCCGCUCAAGCUGGGGGGCUGCUGCGCCGAGGUGAAGCGCCACGAGAGCACGGCGCGCCUGGCGCUGGACCAGUGCGUGCUGCUGGCCGGCGACGUGCGCGUCGAUGUCUUCGCCAAGCCCAAGAUGAUGAUGCGAAAGGAGAAGCUCUUCCACUUCUGGUUCAACACCUUCUUCGUCGCCAACUGCGUGGGCGCAGUGCCCGUGUCGUCGCCCGAUGACAGCAUGAAUCUGGAGACGUUCAAGCUGACGCUGAACAAGUGGCAGCUGGACGACGCACACAAGGACAAGCAACACAAAUUAUACAGCCCCGAUUUUAAGGUGGAGCUGAUCGUGCAGAAGCCGCCGGCGUCGUCGACGUUCACGGGGCAGGGCGCGCGCGCGGCGUCGCCCGCGUCGUCGUCGGCCUCGUCCGGCUCCGAACCCGACACCGAGCCCGACGCGCACUGGGACUCGGUUGUUUUCGUUAGACGGGGAGCCGAGCGUAGUUACUCUUCGGAUUGAUCUCGCAAAACCGAUACCGAUGUCUUCAAACUUAUAAAUAUUAUUCAUAAAGGUGAAUCCACAUACUUGUGAUGGUGGCACGUGGAAACGGUGACCUGUUUUACCCCCCCGCUUUCCCCAAGAGUAUCUUCUCAUCCCCUACGGGGUUACGCUGAAGCUCUUAUAGUGACUUUAAGAACAUAGUGUCUGUGUAUCAAGUGUAGAUAUUUUUAACCAAACCAAGCGGGUUGUGCCAUGGCCAUGACAGGACGGAUUUGAACUAAUAUUGUGAUAAAAAUUGAGUACUGAGUUAACAGAUGGCCGAUAACGAACUUUAAAUGAAUGAUGGUACUAGAACAUCGUGGAAGAGGUGUUUACAUUGCGACAUUGUUGCAUGGCAUUUACAUGGUUUUGCGUAUACAUCUUUGAACUAUUUCGACUUCAAAUAAGUUAUUGCGACGCAGAAUACAAUUAAUUGCUAGAUAUUAAUGUCAGACUGUAAACAAGUCUUAGAUAUAUAGAUUUUUGUACUUCAAUCUCAGAGAGUCAAGCUGUGGUCACAAGGUAUGUUCUUACGUAAUUCUUAUGACAAAUGAGUACAUUUUUUUAAAAUUAUUACGUUCAGUCGCGUAGAUGCACUGUAUGGUUAUUGUGAGAUUGAUUUGUUGAAUUGUACGGGACACUAACGUCAAAUAUAAUCCUAUUGUAAAGAAAUAAUUUCCUAUGCCACGUUUAUAUCGCGUAUCAUUUCGUGACGAAACAGGUGAUGUUGUGAUACGCGCCUGUGACGUUCGGAGAUCUGAUACGCGAAAAUGAUACUAACCGUGGCUUGAAUAUUUCAAUGCGCGUUAAUUUUGUAGAUUAAAAAUGACGUGAGAUGUACCUGUACUUGUACUAUGAAUGUGGUGCAAUUUGUUUGGUUAAUUUUAGUAUUCAUUUAAACGUCUUUCAUCAUGGAAUGAAAAUAUCAUAGUGAUGGGACUUGGCAAAUAACACAUCGGUCAAUAACAGGUAUUUUGCAAAUUUUCAGCCCGAAACACUUUAGAAUCAGCAGCUAUCCAAUUAGAACUAUUUUCAGGAAACAUGUGAAACUUUUUUAUUUAGAGGUGCACUCUCUAAAGGUAAAUCAGCAAAUUUUAGUAGAAUUGAUGAACAGCACUAUCCACUACCAAGUUGAAAUCAGAUUUCGAAUAAAAGCCUAAUAGCUUUUUAAUACAAAAUCUGAUAGGGUUCUAUAACACAACCCAUUUUAUUGUGUCUGAAGUCAUUUUAUUGUGUCCGCCGUGCUGAAGCUUCCUAACGAAUGGAAAUUGUAAUUUAGUUGUGUACUAAAUUGUCCAUUAUAACCCAUUUAACGCACCAGUACUGCACACGUGUCUCCUCUAAGAGCGGUCCUUACCCUCUUGAAACAGCUUUUGACUUUUAAUUUUACAGAAUACGCAUUUGAAGUUAUAAUGCAGAGCGUAAUUUUAUCCGUUAAUUUUUUCCUGCUUUUUUUUCUUGUAUGCCAGGUUUAAUAUAUGAUUAUGGCGUAUCAUGUCUAUGACACGUUCCACCAUCGCUAGUUUGUGUGCACGUGGUCGCAUAUCAUUUCGCAUGCAAACUAGCGAUCGCGUAUCGCGACGCGUAUAUCGCAUCACGUAUCAUUUCGCAUUCAACCCAGCAACCGCGUAUCACAUGAUCGCGUAUCAAUUUGAGUCCAUGCCAGGGAUGUGCGUACUCAAGCUGAUACGAUACCUGUGUGAUUAAAGUGAAGGUUUCGUCGUCAAUAACAGUGUUUACUAAAAUUAACAAAACAUAUUAUUGCUUAUAAAUACCGGCCAGUGUCAAAUAUGAAUGGAUAGAUGCAAGAGUCUAUUUUUUUAAAUUAGACCGACUUGCGACUUGCCUUUAAAUAGUUUGAUGUCUAGAACUAUAUGUAUUUUUCUUUUACUAUGGCGUUGGUACUUGGUAUUAUGUGCUUUUAAUCAUGUAUUUAAAAUACAGGAAUAGGUUGUACUCGGAAUUAUUUAAGAAACUUCCAACAAUGUAAUUCGUAAUGAUGUUCAGAAAUAACCUUAUUAAAUAAUGAGAAUUGAAGAAAAAAAAUCAAGGUAAAGAAUAGGUAAAAACGGACCAUAAAAUCUACACAUGAGCAUUGGUCUACCUACGUUUAACCCCCCAUUUUUACCUUAUUUUUACUAGCUCACAUUAUUGACAGCAUUUUAUUUAAAAAAACUGCAGUUAACUACAAUAUGUCGUUACUGCUAUUAUAUUUUUUUUAAUUAAGAUUACCUUUUCAUCAGUUUUGUUUAGCAUGUUAACCGCCAGUUAAAGGUAACACGUAAAUACUGCCCUCGUAACCAAGAGCAGAAUAGCCUACAGUAAACAUACUUGCGAGUUCUUUUUGUAUUUGCCAUGUUAAGAUCAUUUUAAAUUGAGCUAUGACUCCUGUGACUACAUUUAGUUACUGUACCAACGUCAUAGUUCUUGACUAAAUUGACAUUACUUGUAGUAUUGUCAGUGUGACUUCAUAUUGGGAAGGUAAACAAUCAAAGAACCACUAAAGUGCUCUUUUGUUCGGUACACUUGCACUUUGUCUUUAAGUUACAAGAGUUAUUAUGCAUUAAAUGUUGCGUCUACACUUGUAUAAUUUUGGUCGACACAGUUGGUCUAUACAGUAAACCUAACAAGUAGUCUUAGAUUUAACAAUAAAUGCUUUUUAUGUAAAAUGUAAAUCAAAUUUUACCAUGUCUACUAUUAAUGCACAAUGGAUAAUGUAACUUAAAUAUAAUGUGGUAGUGUAAACAGUUUGUUAGCUCAAUAACCGUUUUAUACCUUUAACCCUGUCAUAUAUAUCUCGCCAUAGUAAGUUUGCACUCGGCAGCCUUUAGACAACCCAUUAAUCGGCUUUAAUUCCCGUUAAAACCAUACAACUUAAAAUAAAUAACUGGUAACUUUGAAUUGAAUUUGUAUUGCACUUUAAAAACUAUAAUAGCAAACACAGAACAGUAAUGCUUGAGAAUAAGUUGUACAACAAGCAGUUUUGAUCUGUUGACCUCUAACCUCCUUAACAAAAUGUAGAGUUCUAUAAUCGAGAAAGUAAAUCAAUUGGAAUGUGGAAUGAAAUCGAUUGAUGUGUCGUCUCAGAGGUUCAUUCAGUAUGAACGCUUGAACAGGAAACAAUCAUUAAACAACUUUGUAACAUAAUAACUCGACAGUACAAAGUUAAAAUAAUCAUAUCUAUUGUGCUUUUUUCAGUUUUCGACUAAUUGUCUUCAGUAAAAUUUUGUCAAAACGCCAUGUUACUGACUACUUAGUGUAAUACCUUUUUUUUUUUACAUGUUUUUAAAAUAAUUUUUAUCUUUUGUUAAAGAACUAUAUUGCCGUAUGGCGAGGCAGAUGUUCCCACCAGUGGGUCCCAUAUCUGGUUAACGUCAAGAACAAGUAAAAUAUGAAAUUUGGUGAAAAUUAAUACUAAUUAAUUUUCACCGCGCGACCUGUCUAAAUUACUACAUUUAGAUACUACGUCAGAUGAAUAAUGCGUUUGGUGGUAUGUCUAGAUGAUUAUCCUAGUUUGAGAACAGGCAAGUGGUAUUAACACUCAACAAGCACUCUGCAUGCUUUCAAUCCCCGAUAGCCCCAAUCUGAUAAAACCUAAUUCUUAGGUUUUCGCGAUUGUUACACAUUUUUCGGAUCUAAAUCCUGUAUUGUUUUGUCAAACAAAUCAACGUUUUUUGACCCUUUACAGUCACUUGUGAUUAUGGUACCUGUAAAGGGCCCGAAACAUUGGUUUGUUUGAAAAACAAAUUCCGAAAAAAAUAGUUUCAUUUCUUGGGAUAUAAACUUCAAAAAAAUCAUAAAUUCACAACCUGAAGAUCAGCGCUAGGCUUUUGUCAAUAUUUCCAAACAACAAAAAUUGGGAUUUACAACUGAUUUCGUCGAAAAGAUACGCCCAGUAUCGUGUUUUUUUAUCUAGCUUAAGUUCCCGUUACCCUGGCAGCAUUGGUGUACUGGAUAUCAAUGUUCACCUGUUGAACCAGCCAUGACCCAGUGUGGGGAUCUUAGCCCUUGAGACCUUGAGUCCGUGACCUAACUUUUUAAAUAACUUCCGAGUUUCCGAAAUCAACUGUUGAGACCGCGACCGGUACUUUCCUAAAUUGAUUAUCUUUUGAAAAGUGUAGGUAGGAGUUCAUUAUUCUGGUAUUCACAGUAUAGGGAAUUUCCUGUUUUCAUACCAGGUCAUUGGUGUGGUUGUCUGGCACAUUAUUACUAUUUUGCCUAAAACAUAAAUUUAAAAUUUUUAAAUGGGUAGUAUUCCCCGGCAAUGGUAUAGUCGGCCGGGGUCAAGAAACGGCGAACGAUAUGGAACAGCGCCUUAUUAUUAUUAAUCGUAUCGAUUAUCUGUUCUCAAAUUUCGGAAUACUCUGCCAAAACGUAGAAGACUCGAAUCCGAAUUAAACAUGCCAUCACGCUUGUCUCUCACCGGGAACAUCCACUACGCGUCUGAUAAACCUCUUUCGUCUCCUCCACUCGCAUUAGUCGUACUCCGCCCGACAAUCCGUCCGAAAAUAAAUGAUACUCGACCAAAUUAAAAUAUGCAUGAUGCGAAUGAAGCUUUAUACUUGACAUUGUUUUCUAAUUUGUUCGAGUAUUACUUAUUUGACAGUAAUUAUUUCGGAUGGAGAACGAGUGUAAAUCACCCGGUUUCCACACGUCUGUUUAGUCUUGGUGCUUUUAACCUGGCCUUUUUUAAGGACAUCCUUAAUCGGACCAAGAUGCCGCACCCC